rnacentral:tRNA from 1 species
GAGAAAUUAGUUAAAAUAUAACCCCACCUUGUCAAGGUGAAAUUACUGGUUGAACCCCAGUAUUCCUCA